rnacentral:rRNA from 1 species
UGGGGAAUCUUGGACAAUGGGGGCAACCCUGAUCCAGCCAUGCCGCGUGAGUGAUGAAGGCCUUAGGGUCGUAAAGCUCUUUCGCCUGUGAAGAUAAUGACGGUAGCAGGUAAAGAAACCCCGGCUAACUCCGUGCCAGCAGCCGCGGUAAUACGGAGGGGGUUAGCGUUGUUCGGAAUUACUGGGCGUAAAGCGCACGUAGGCGGACCAGAAAGUUGGGGGUGAAAUCCCGGGGGCUCAACCCCGGAACUGCCUCCAAAACUAUUGGUCUAGAGUUCGAGAGAGGUGAGUGGAAUUCCAAGUGUAGAGGUGAAAUUCGUAGAUAUUUGGAGGAACACCAGUGGCGAAGGCGGCUCACUGGCUCGAUACUGACGCUGAGGUGCGAAAGUGUGGGGAGCAAAACAGGAUUAGAUACCCUGGUAGUCCACGCCGUAAAACGAUGUCUGCUAGUCGUUGGGGGGCGUAGCCCUUCAGUGACGCCGCUAACGCAUUAAGCAGACCGCCUGGGGAGU